rnacentral:misc_RNA from 1 species
AACGCAUAUGGCACCUUUUGGUCAUACUAAAAGGUAUGCCUGUUUGAGAAUCAUUUACCUUCUUGAUCCAUUGAUCAACUUGAUUGAUUGAUUGAUUUGGUAUCAGACAUGGACAUUAUUCAUCAAUGAUUGUCUUGAAUUGUGCACGAUUGUGUCGUGAUAGAAUGGCAUUGCUGCUGUGGUUGAUCGACCAAUCCCCUUUUUGUUAAUGAUCUCAAAUCAGGCAAGACUACCCGCUGAACUUAA